rnacentral:lncRNA from 1 species
ACAUUUUAAUUAUUCAUUUAUCCAUUAUCAGUUUAUUCAUUCAACAAAAAUUCUUGCCGCAACACAGAUUUGGGGGAGACAGAGCUCACAAAUCUUGAUUGUAAUAGCAGUUUCAUAGGAAUACAACCCUACAAUUAUUUAAAGACAUCUUGCAGAGGGCCAGGAAAAUGUUAGAGAUGCUAACCUAGAGCUGUGACAUCACCACACCAACUCUGGAUCCAUCUACCUCCAGAUUCUUGUGAGGAGACAACAGGCCCCCUGUUUUCAGGUAGUCCGGAAGUUACAACAUGAAUGUCCUGGUUGAUACAGGACAAGCAGAGGGGCACGGCAAUAUUAUGAGGACACCAAGAAGGCAUGCCCAAAUGAAAAAUACGCUCAAGUCUUUAGAGAUGCACUGAAAUCAAAGGACUAGAUAAAGAGUGUUUUAGCCAGCGGCCACUGCACAUGUGGGAGAAGCUCACACACCUUGGCAUCGUAGAAACUCCCGUAUAGAGCAGGGAAUGGCAAGGUGCGGCUGAGGAGGCUGUCCCGAGUUGGGUAGUGGAGUGAGGUCUCCAUAGCUGUGGGGGAGCUGGACUUUUUUUCCCUGCUAGAUUGCUCACAAUGAUGUGAGUGGAGGAUACAUUUAAGGGAUCAAAACUGGAGACAGACACAGUUAAGAAUUCAGUGUGAGUGGAGAGGUAGAGGGGUGGGUGGUGGUGGAUAGAAUGGAGAUGGAAAUGCUGGCAGAGCUCAGGAGGCUCCUGGCUGCCUCCACACAUCAGUACUAGUACUGCGGCAGUUAGGGAUAAGAGGUAAAUUGUGGGACUGAUACCUGAUACCAGAAAGCUGAACUUUAUUCCUUUAAUACUGUAAAAUGUUAUUAACUAUUUCCCUAUCCUUUUUUUUUAUAAACAGUUUGCUAGUCAGACACUAGCCUUUUCUUGAUGAGUCAUGGUCACUGUUAUGAAAAGGGGAGCUAGCAUGGAGCAAAGGGUCAAGACAUAGUUUAGGUAACAUCAUGAGAAACUUUGCUGGACAUCAUAAGAGCGGGGUCACUCCCAGCUCCAGACUCACUCAUCUGUGUGCUCACAGCACAGCCAUGAAACCUCUGAGUGUUUGUUUUCUGCUUGGGUACCCACUUCCCAGCCUCCUGUAGAGAUAUGAUGACGUAAUGUGCGCGUGGGCUCGAUAAAGCACCAGUCCCUGCACAAUGAGGUGUUUUAAUAGUUUCCCACAGUGGAGUGACAGCCGGUGUCUGUCUGAUCUCACUGUCCUUCACGUCGAAGCUACCUGCCUUCUCUCCAAGAAACUUUCACCUGCUGUACUUUGCUCCUGACUAGACCACAGGUCAAACCUCUAAAGUAUUCUGUUCAGUACAGUCCAGCGGGGCCCCUUGCAGAGCCCUGAGGACCUGGCUUUGAUUCAAUCUCUGUCAGCUAUUUUUGGUUUUCAAAGGUCUUUUUCACUUCCGGAUUUGCUGCUGCAUUCCACAGAACUGAAAUUGUCAGAGCCUAACUUCCAGUUAAGUGGGGUGUGGUGACUAUGUUUUUGCAUUGUCAAAAGAACCAGGCAGUUUUCACUCCUGUUCAGGUCUUUUUAUCUCUGUGUAAGCAGUGUUCAAUAAUAUCAUAUGCUGAUUUACCCUCACCACUAAGCUAACCUGUAUACCAUGACUCACACCAUAACAUAUAUGAAUAAAAAUCCUUGACUGUAACUUUCUUUCUUUUGUGAUGCUGGGAAAUGACACUGGGCCUUCAUGAAUGCUAAACAAGUGUUUUACCACUGAUCUCUAUCUCCAGCCUUUAUAAACUUUUAAAAAGUGGAGAAAAGGUUUUACUAAGGUGUCUAGAUUGGCCUUGAACUUGUGAUCCUCCUGCCUUAGUCUUAUGGGUAGCUUGAUUACAGUCUGGCCGUACAGCUCUUUUUGUAACAAAGAAGAUUUAUGACAUUCUUUCCUUUAAGGAUUUAGGGUUUCUGGUUUCUGUCUCCCCCUUUUGCCCUCUGAAGGGGUUCUUGACAGCAUUCUGAGGGUUUCUGUCCUCUUCUCUUGCUGUUAAUGUCUGAACUAAGAAAAGAUGGGUUACAUUUGUUUAUGCUGCAUUUGUUUGACUAUGUAAAGAUGUGUUGCUUUUAUUUUACCUUGCUUGUCUAAGGCACCUGACUGGUCUAAUAAAAAAGCUGAAUGGCCAAUAGCUAGGCAGUAGAGGGAUAGGUGGGGUUGGCAGGCAGAGAGAAUAAGUAGGAGGAAGAAUCUAUGCUCUAGAGAAGAGGGAACAAGGGAGAAAAAGAGGGAGGUACUGGGGGCCAGCCAGGCAGGCAGCCAGCUAGACACAGUGGAAGUGUGAAUCCAGAAUGAAAGAAAGGUAAAAAGCCCCAGGCGAAACACAGAUGAAGAGAAACAGGUUAAAUUAAGUUGUAAGAGCUCGUGGGACAAGGGUAAGAUAAGACCAAGCACUCAUAACUAAUAAGAAGUCUGUGUGUCAUGAUUUAGGGGCUGGUAGACCCAAGAAAGCCCUCUGCACUUAGCCGAGCCCUAUCCAAAUGUUAGACUUACAAAAUGAUGAGAUAUAAUCAUCUGUUAUUGUUUUUAGUGCCCUAAGUCUGGGUGUGCCCUAUUAUAACAUAGUAGGUAACAGACCAAAAUACAGAAAAAAGUGAAGUUUCUCACAACAUUUUAUGUGGGUGCAGGGAACUUCAGGAACAAGGAGAGCUUCCCCGAUCCAUAUCAAAACAGUCUCAGAGAGUUACUGGAGUAGGGAUAUAGUCACUCACAUUACUGGGGAAGGGAUAUAGUCACUCACAUUACUGGGGUAGGGAUAUAGUCACUCACAUUACUGGGGAAGGGAUAUGGUCACUCACAUUACUGGAGUAGGGAUAUAGUCACUCACAUUACUGGGGAAGGGAUAUAGUCACUCACAUUACUGGGGAAGGGAUAUGGUCACUCACAUUACUGGAGUAGGGAUAUAGUCACUCACAUUACUGGAGUAGGGAUAUAGUCACUCACAUUACUGGGGUAGGGAUAUAGUCACUCACAUUACUGGGGUAGGGAUAUGGUCACUCACAUUACUGGAGUAGGGAUAUGGUCACUCACAUUACUGGAGUAGGGAUAUAGUCACUCACAUUACUGGAGUAGGGAUAUAGUCACUCACAUUACUGGGGUAGGGAGAUAGUCACUCACAUUACUGGGGAAGGGAUAUGGUCACUCACAUUACUGGGGUAGGGAUAUAGUCACUCACAUUACUGGGGAAGGGAUAUAGUCACUCACAUUACUGGAGUAGGGAUAUGGUCACUCACAUUACUGGAGUAGGGAUAUGGUCACUCACAUUACUGGGGUAGGGAGAUAGUCACUCACAUUGCUACUGAUUAAAAGCCCACAGCCUAACAGACUUGAGAGAAGCAAGUAACUAAACUCAUUUCAUUCCUGUAAGAGUAGAUGCUACUACUCAAAUUAUUGCACAGUUAUCUUGGCAAUACCGGGGAGAAGAGACACUCUGCUCUUCCACAGAAUAUGGAUGGUCGUGGAUGGGAUUUGAGGUGAACGAACUGGUAAGGACGGCACAAGAGGCUCCAGAAUGUGUCAGUGUGCACAGGUCUAACUCAGCUUCCCUCCAAUGGGAAGGAGAUAAAUGAAAGAUAUCUUGAUGGGAGGUGAACAUGAUCAAAAUAUACUGUGUACAUGUAUGCAAUUAUAAAAACAAUAACAUAUUUGGGCCAGGAGAGGUGGCUUGGUGGUUAAGAGCACAUAUAGUUCUUGCAGGGGGCCUGAGUUCAGUUCCUAGCACCCAGAUCACAACUGCCUGUAACUCCAACUCGGGGGAUCUGACAUCUCUGGCCUCUGAAGGCACUUGUACUCAAUGUGUGUUAUGGUGGAAACUUCACCCCAUGGGAAGGGUGAUAACUGCCAGAAUGAAGGGAAUGGAGAAGUGUCCUGAUAGUAAAGAAAAAGCAAGGGUGAAUGAGUGAGACAGGGUGGCCUUCCAGCCCCCUACCCACAGAGGAGAUGGGAAAGAGAGACCGGGAAAUCACAUGCCUGUUUUAUGGGGGACAGUUUAAAUACCCUGUGGGAGUGGUCUUGAGGAUUUCUGGGGGAGGCAUCAUCAUUUGGCGGGCUUUCUGAGAUGCAGCAGGGUUUGGAGGGAGAUAGGGGAUGAGGGCUUGGGUGGAACUUCCACCAUAACAUUCCAGACUCUUUGGAUAUAUGGAUGCCCGGGGCCGGGGUGAAGCUUCCACCCAUAACAAUGUGUAUAACCCCUCUUCCCAAACAUAUAAUUUAAAAAUAUAAAAAAACCCAUUGUAGACAUGAAACUAUAAUGAAAACAAGCCAUAUUGUAUAAAUGUAUCCAAUUGUAAAACAGAUAAUUUGGAGGGGUUGCUAUAUGAUGGCCUGCAGUGUUGCAACACCGUAUCCAACACUGAGGUUAGGGAAAAUCAGAGAAACUGAGUCACAGAGAAGUUCCUUGCAAGGGCUGCUCAUCAGCUGUGGACCUUGCAGUUCGGACACUGGCGCUAAAUGAGAGAUCACUUCUACCUAUGUUCUGGAGGACAGCACACAUAAAUACUGAGGAAACACAAGGGAAACAUAAAGGAAAAGAGGCAUCUAAAAGUCUCCAGGUACUGGCCUAAACAGUCGUGGAUUCUGGGAACAGCAGAGCUUCACAGUGCAGACAAGCCCUUGGGUGAGGCCAAUUAUCUAUGAUGGCGAGGCUGUUCUGGUCCUCCUGAGAACCAGAUGUUCUCUCAAGCAACAGAGCCUUCCUAGGAACACCUUGCAGAACAAGACCUGAGACAGUGAUGGACCAGACUGCACCUUGACUGGCUCUGCUGAGUUCUUCACGCCUAGCCUCUUCCUGGUUCUUUUUUAAGGCUGCCAGCCGAAGGUGUGGCCCAGAUUCAAGGUGGAUCGUCCCACCUCAAGAGAUCUGGAUUAAAGGUUAGAGCUAUUAUCAGCCUUGGCCAGAGGAGCUUCUGCAGUGGGCAGUAGUUAAUGAAGAGACUCGUAAUGAUCAAAGUUCUGAGAAUAAGUGAUUUCUGAGUGCUUGUCCCUCAAAAGGCGUCUCCAUCACCCUUCCUCCCAGACUCAGGGGUUAUCAUGGUAGAGGGGGCAGAAAAAAUAUGAGAACUGGAGGACUGGGCGGAGGGCUAUGACAUGAUAUGGUCAUUGAACUCAUGAACUCACUAUAGCUAUGGUUACCUGUGUAAGGAUUCAGGCAUUAUGCUGGCCUGCCCCUGUCACAUGGCAGAAUGCACUCAGGCAGCACCUGGUAUCCCCCUCAAUAAAACUUCCAAUAUGAGUCAGUCUACAGGCCUCUGUUUCCCCACCCACCUGCCAUCCGUCCCAGGAUGGAGAUCCUCGUGGUCCCAUCACGGGCCCAGGGACCUGCCAUUCUAACCCACUCUUCAUUAUUCAUAACAACCUGCAUAGGAUCAAGCCAACAAGAUCAGUCAACGUUAUACCAGGCAGCACCAACUGGACUCAGUAGGUUACCCAUCACCACAAAAGAAGAAGUCAGAAAGGUGGGAGGUGUGUUAGAAAAGGUGUCUGGAGGGAAUGAAGACUUGGGAGUGGACACUGUAUACAGGUAUGUAAUUGUCAACAAAUAGAUUAAGGAUACUCUUAAAAAAAAAAAGAAUGAUCCAGGAUAGCCAAAGCAUUCCUAGUAAAGAAAAAGCAAUCACUGGUAAAGACAUCCCAAAACCUUAUCUUAUAUUACAGAAACAAAGUAACAAAGCCAGCAUGGAUCUGACACAGAAACAGACAUAUAAACACUCUUAGGGUUUCUAUUGCUGUGAUAAAACCAACCAAAAUCAGCUUGAGGAGGAAAGGCAGGAACCUAGAGGCAAGAAAUGAAGCAGAAGCCAUGGAGAAAUGCUCUUUCUGACUGUUCCUCCUGGUUUGCUCAAUUUGUAUUCUUAAACACUUCAGAACCACUUACCCACGGGUGGCACCGCCCUUCCUACAUCAAUCUAGAAAUUGCCUGCCU